rnacentral:rRNA from 1 species
GACGAACGCUGGCGGCGUGCCUAAUACAUGCAAGUCGAGCGCAGUGGGGACGGGUGAGUCACACGUGGGUAACCUCCCCUCAGAGGGGAUAACCCUUGGAAACAGGUGCUAAACCGAUACUGAUGGAUGGACCCGCGGUGCAUUAGCUAGUUGGUGGGGUAACGGCUCACCAAGGCCACGAUGCAUAGCCAGUCUGAGAGCGUGAUCGGCCACACUGGGACUGAGACACGGCCCAGCCUCCUACGGUAGGCAGCCGUAGGGAAUCUUCGGCAAUGGACGAAAGUCUGACCGAGCAACGCCGCGUAUGUGACGAAGGUUUUCGGAUCGUAAAACUCUGUUGUUAGAGAAGCGUUAUCCAACCAGAAAGCCACGGCUAACUACGGGCCAGCAGCCGCGGUAAUUC